UGCACUUUUGUUCAAAACAAUUUUAAGAACUUUUGUCCCAAGUUUUGAUUGGCUGAUCAAAGCGAUUAACGCAAGCGAACAAAAUUUUUCGACUUUCGGCGUCUUGUCACAGAAUAGAUACCAGGGCGCUUAUAUAUCGGGCGGCGAAACGCGCUGUCAAAGCGCUGAUCGAUGUGUGAUGCGGCAGAGGACUGGCGCGAGCGUGUGUUUUGAACGAAUUUGGGAAGGAGCGUGAUUUUGUAGUUUUGUCUUAGUGCGGCUUUUACUCCGGUUUUAUGAGAAGUUUCAAGGGUUUUUGAACCGACACUUUCGAAGCAAUGUUUCCUUUAACGUCUAAAGCCCUGAUCAAACGAGAACGCAAGUCAUCGCAAGUUACUUGCCCUGAAUUGCGAUGGGACCGAUCAAACGAUACGGAAGUUAUCGCAACAAUUUACAAUAUUUGGCCCGUGUGCCGGGUAAUUUUGUAAUUUUGCAAAAUUGUAUGGCCGUCAUUUAAACCCAUUUAAAACGAAUGCAAAACUUUUGAAAAUGCCAUGUAAAAUGAAGCGAAAGCUGCCAACAACACUGUGUUAUUUUCUCUACUUGCAUGAAACGUCGAAAAACAAGAGAAUGGAUUAAGCGAAGAUCAGAAAAAGGUCAUUUUUAUAACAUCUUAAGAGAGCAGAGGACUAGGGAGUAUGGUUUCCUUUGAUUUCUAUGGAAACUGGUCUCAAAAAACUUGUCUGAACUUGCAAUUCCCGAUCAAACGUAUCGCAAGUGCUCGCAAGUUUAAAAAAGCUUGCGAUGAAGUUUGAACCAGCUCAAAUCAUUCGCAAGUCAUCGCAAGUUAACGCAAGUCAACGCAAGUUGGUGGUCAAACGAGGCGCAAGCAAGUGCAACUUAAAACUUGCGAUGACUUGCGUUCUCGUUUGAUCAGGGCUUAAGAGCUUUUUGUGUUCGCCGGACUCUUCUUACGUUUGUUUUAUUGUGGAUAAACGUCGUCAAAAGUAGGGGUAUGAGGAGACAAGAAGUUCAACAAGGAAAUAUGACAAGUCAACUUGCUGCCCCACGUAAUAGUAUUUCAGGUAUGUUGAGCUUAUUAUUGUCUGUUCGUAUAUGGAGAUACUCGUAGAAAUCGGAGUUGAUGUUUUUUAGCUGCUUUGCUCUGAAUUCAUGCACUAUUUUCGCUAUAUUUUUUCAUCUUUGGAU